GACAUCACUUAACCACAGGUUCUAAACUACCGAUUAAAGCACCCAGCAAAUAAAAGCCUUUAAAACUGUUGGGGUUUAUUUACUCUUACUGAAGUGUACAGUUGCUGCACAGAGAUCAUCAUCAGGAGAGGCAGCAGUUAGUGCCAUUUAAAACUGCUACAGAAUUAGCUUGGGACUUUCUCAACAACCCUCAGUGAUCUUUACAGCUUCAGCCAUAGAGAAAAAUAAUGAUGCCCCAUGUUACAGCAGAAAACUAAGUUGUAUUGUUAACAUGCAAACUUCACUGCAGCAUCCUUUGCCUUGUGUGAAACGGUGACGCUCGCCAGCAGCUCACAGUAACGUAUAUACCAGAUGUGUGUCUAACAAGAGACUGUGGACAGGGACAGGUAUGUACACAUGCACGCAGAAAAAUACAGAAAUUUAAAACCACUGUGUCCAUACACCAUUCAGCAGCAUGUGAAGUUUAAAUCCACAGAAGCAUUAUAUACUCUUUAUAUAUUCACAAGCAGGAUGCAGUAGAUUUCUCUGCAAGUCUAUGAAAAGCACUAUGAAUAAGAGCUGAAGAGCCGCCUCCACAAUCCCAUGUAAUGCCACCUAAAAGCUUUGCCUCGCAUGACUUAUUACAGGCUGGAGCAGAUUAGAGGCAUCGAUCGCUGCCUGGAGAAGGUUCUCGCUGCGAGGAGGGAAGGCAGCCGCAGAGGCAGACAGUCCAGCCAUCGAUCCACUCCAACGGGGAGCUGCGCUGCAGAAUGAAGUAUUUCUCUUUACAGAUAAAACCAGCUCCCAAAGAUAAGCUGCACUACUGCAGCUUAAGGUGACUGGAACUCCAGAAUGUACAAGUGUUCAAAAAUCCUUUCCAGCGUACAACUAAUUUUAUGUAAGCUGGAAGAGAGCAUAAAGAUGCAGUUUCAUAUCAUCGCACCUACCAUUUUUAAAAAUAUUCAAUACCACUGGAACUAGAACAGAUCCUUGCUUCAGGGAUCCUGCUCAACCCAAUGACAAUUACCAAAGCACCAAAUUACAAAUGUGAUGUUUUUCAUCCCUGCUCUCAUCUCUUAAGGCACCCUGCUUACAGACUCAUGUUACUCUUUAAACACUGUUAGCAACCUCUGCUUUAAUUGGACUUAAUUAAGAGGAACUUCCGUUUUGAUACAUAAUAACUAAUCUAUUAAAUUAGUUGUUUCCCUAAUCCCAGCACAUAAAAAAGGUGGCUUUAAUGCUCUCAAAAAACUUGCAUACAUACAUUUUUAUACAACAAUUUCAGUAAAUUUUAAUAUUAGUCUUCCUUGGUUUUAUACCAUUUAAGCCAUGUUACUGUUUAUGAUUCCAGAAAAACACACAGGCAUAUUU